rnacentral:rRNA from 1 species
UACCUACGGGAGGCACCAGUAGGGAAUCUUCCACAAUGGACGAAAGUCUGAUGGAGCAACGCCGCGUGAGUGAAGAAGGGUUUCGGCUCGUAAAGCUCUGUUGGUAGUGAAGAAAGAUAGAGGUAGUAACUGGCCUUUAUUUGACGGUAAUUACUUAGAAAGUCACGGCUAACUACGUGCCAGCAGCCGCGGUAAUACGUAGGUGGCAAGCGUUGUCCGGAUUUACUGGGGGUAAAGGGCGGGGAGGCGGGAAAGGAA